rnacentral:lncRNA from 1 species
AGGCCUUGGGUUACACUCUGAUGAUGCCAGGAUAAUCAGACCAGCCUCUGGGAGACCCUCCCCACCAGGCAACAGCUGUCCCUCAUCCUCCCAGCUCUGUUCCCAUCUGCGCCUGGGGAAGUGAGCUUAAGGAUUUUUCCGGAAAUGAGGAGAGGUCAGGAUGCUGAAGUGUUUGGAAGGCAUCCGACGGAAUGACGGCUGAGGCCCUCACUCUCCACUGAACUCUGCUUGCGGCUGGGGACUGCUCUGUGUCUGCACGUGUUCGCGUUUAUUAAAUGUGGAGGU